UUGGAGGGCAAGUCUGGUGCCAGCAGCCGCGGUAAUUCCAGCUCCAAUAGCGUAUAUUAAAGUUGUUGCAGUUAAAAAGCUCGUAGUUGAAUUUCGAGAUCAGUACGCUGGUCGUGCCUUUGGUAUGCACUGGUGUCACUGGUUUCUCCCUUCUGAAGAACUGUCAUGCCAUUCAGUUGGUGUGGCGGGGAAUCAGGACUGUUACUUUGAAAAAAUUAGAGUGUUUAAAGCAGGCUCGCGCUUGAAUACAUUAGCAUGGAAUAAUGAAAUAGGACGUUUGACCCUAUUUUGUUGGUUUCUAGGAUCGACGUAAUGAUUAAUAGGGAUAGUUGGGGGCAUUAGUAUUCAAUUGUCAGAGGUGAAAUUCUUGGAUUUAUUGAAGGCUAACUACUGCGAAAGCAUUUGCCAAGGAUGUUUUCAUUAAUCAAGAACGAAAGUUAGGGGAUCGAAGACGAUCAGAUACCGUCGUAGUCUUAACCAUAAACUAUGCCGACUAGGGAUCGGAUGAUGUUAAUUUUUUAAUGACUCAUUCGGCGCCUUACGGGAAAC
rnacentral:rRNA from 1 species